rnacentral:lncRNA from 1 species
GGAGAAGCUGCCUGUGGCUGAGAGCUUGUGUGUUUGGGGAGGUGCUCUCAGCCUGUCAUAUGCACUUCUCAAUCUUCUAGAAAGAAACCCAAAAAAGAAAGCAGACGACGACCUCGGGACAGAGGAGAAAAAUCCCAAGUGUUCACACAGUUACACGGAGUCUUUAUGGCAAAGAGAACAUUUAGCAGCUUUGAAUAUUGGGCAUCUCCUUUUUACUCAACACAAGCAUUCUAGACCCUAUAAAGGACUAGUUCUUUUGUUGUUGCUGGGUUGUGUAAUUUUUUGUGUUUUCCCAGUGAUAAGCCCAGUUGUUGGUAGGCAGAGGCCCGAGGGAAGGGUGACUCCCCAGUGUUGUGCUGAAUCCUGCCUGGAGGCUGCUACACUAGAUUCUCCAUCAUUCCUCUGCCUCACAGCAGUCCCAGAAGAGGAAGGCUGCAGGCCCAGUUCCCGGAGCACUGCCAUCACCCUACCCCAGCUUACAGAAGAGCUCAGGGGUGGCUGGAGCACGGAGGGAGAUGGAGUGGCAAGGCAGUGAAUGACAUGCGUGAUGUUGGGGCUGUUGCAACAUGGGACCACGUGACCCUUUCCUGUUCACUCUACCCUUUGACUCUAAAUCUCAAAGCCAGUGUUGGGGCCCAGUGGCUCCAUUCGAUUGAAACAUGGCCAAUGAUAUCCAAGAGCUCCCCUUCAGGGAUGUCAA